rnacentral:rRNA from 1 species
CCUACGGGAGGCAGCAGUGGGGAAUAUUGGGCAAUGGAGGCAACUCUGACCCAGCAACGCCGCGUGAAUGAUGAAGGUCUUCGGAUUGUAAAGUUCUGUGUUGGGGGAUGAACACAAUGACGGUACCCCCAUAUCAAGCCACGGCUAAUUACGUGCCAGGAGCCGCGGUAAUACGUAGGUGGCAAGCGUUAUCCGGAUGGGUUGGGCGUAAAGGGUGCGUAGGUGGUUUCGUAAGUUGGCCGGGAAAUUCCGGGGCUCAACCGCGGCCCUGCAGCCACAACUGGUGGACUAGAGGGCGGGGGGGGUAGGUGGAAUUCGUGGUGUAGCGGUGGAAUGCUUAGAUAUCAGGAAGAACUUCGGGGGCGAGGGC